GGGACCAUAUACUCUGUGCAGUAUCGGAAUAAUGCACACUAUCAGCAAUUUGUGGAGACAAAGAGGAGGUCAACCAGGAAAUAACCAUGUUAUUCCACCUAUCCCACAGUCUCUGUUGAGCCACAUUAUUGUUAGGACGAGGACAUGAAAUGUCAACAAAUCCGAUUUUAUUUUUAGCAUAUAAAGCAACAAUCAUUUUACGCCUCCAGCCCCCACAACCACUACCCGAGAAGGGAGUGGGAACAAGAGACACUCAGGGACAUCAGAAGAAUAUACAAAGAGCGGACUGGUAGAAUCUAUCAAAGCGGAGGCACCAGUAUUCGUAUUGGAAGCCAUAAUCACACCAGAUAUUCACACACAAAACCAUAUAUUCACACACAAAACCAGAUACUCACCUACGGAGCCAGAUAAUCACACAGAAAGCAUAUAAUACUCAAGAUAAGGAAAGAGUUACCCUCCUUCUUCGCGACCGGAGAAGAUCGGCCUUCAAACAAAAAGAGAAAACCCUAGGUGCAACCGUCGAAAGCCUUACUGUAAGUAUGGUCAGGAAUGUCGGAAAGUCUCCCAAAACAUCCAGUGAGUGAGAAUCGAGCCACCGCCAUAGAAGUAAAUCUCUAGGUUAAACCACCAGAAACCUUAGAAGCUGAUAGGUCACCCAAAAAUCACCCAAAAAUCAUCAGAAAAUCUCCCAGAACGUUCGAGUGCAGAAAAUACUCUCAGAUAUCACGAUGAAAUGCGACCGGAGAUGAUCGGCCUUCAAACAAACAGAGAAAACCCUAGGUGCAACCGUCGAAAGCCUUACUGUAAGUAUGGUCAGGAAUGUCGGAAAGUCACCCAAAACAUCCACUGAGUGAGAAUCGAGCCACCGGAUAGCAGUAAAACUUUAGGUUAAACCACCAGAAACCCUAGAAGCCGAUAGGUCAACCAAAUAUCAUCAGAAAAUCUCCCAGAACGUUCGAGUGAAGAAAAUACACUCUGAUAUCACGAUGAAAAACUCAGAAAGGUGUCCGAUUUAGAUCGGAAUCAUCAUCGACCAUAAGGUCUCAGAAACACCCCCAAAAAUCUCGAAACAGACUUCAUCCAAGACAACGAAGAUAUCACGAUGAAAAACUCAGAAAGGUGUCCGAUUUAGAUCGGAAUCAUCAUCGACCAUAAGGUCUCAGAAACACCCCCAAAAAUCUCGAAAUAGACUUCAUCCAAGACAACGAGGUACAGAUAAACAUAGUCGGAUCGUCGUCCGGGCUCUGAUACCAUGUAAAUAUUGAGAUUAAACCGAAAAAUCAUGAAGAAUGUAGAAAGAGAAACUAGAGAGAAGGAGGAGCGUCUAGAAGACUGUGGAAGCCAGAGACUCUUUAUUAAACAGAGAACAAAAU
rnacentral:lncRNA from 1 species